GUGCGUGGCAGGUUGUUGCUUUGAAGGCUUUGAGGGAGGACUAGGCCUCACUGAGAGCCUGGCCGGGUCUUUCCUAAUAAGGGGGAAAGCCCCGAAGCACAAAACAGGAGGACCAAUGCGGGACUCACACUCACAGCCCCCAGCAGAGGAAGCGGCUUUUGUUGUGUCCCAGGAGUGGCUGGGAAGCUGUUGGGGAAAUGGGAGGGCAAGAUCCUUGCCUGUGAGUAGGAAGAUCGGGUCUGGCUCCGUCCGGUGCGUGAGGGAAGUGAGCUUCCUUUAUUGUAUUUCUGCUAAUAAUGAAAACUAUCUCUUCCAAGCUGCUUUAUGAAGGGAUGGUUGUUCCUAUUGCACACUCUUGUUUUUCUUCUAAUCUAGUGCUUGUUUUUAUUGCACUCUCUUGUUUUUCUUCUAAUCUAGUGCUUGUUUUUAUUGCACACUCUUGUUUUUCUUCUAAUCUAGUGCUUGUUUUUAUUGCACUCUCUUGUUUUUCUUCUAAUCUAGUGCUUGUUUUUAUUGCACUCUCUUGUUUUUCUUCUAAUCUAGUGCUUGUUUUUAUUGCACACUUUUUUUCUUUUAAUGUAACUCUUGUUUUUAUUGCACACUUGUUUUUCUUUUAAUCUAAUGGUGGCCAUUUUGGAAGCAAACAUCCAGUGAGAUGGCGGCACAUGGUGGGUCACGUGAUUAAACAGCAUGGUCAUGGGUGUGGGGAGCCAGCUGUGCUCCGGAGCUUCUCUCCAGACCCAGAAGUUUAGGAAGAAUGCAUUAGAGAAACAAAAACAAAUAAGAGCAAAAAGAGGCUAUAAAAUUAACAAAACAAAAGAAGUCAUUCUUGGAUGGCUCCAUGAUUUGCAGUGUGACCAAUGGGAAGGAGAUCCUGGAUGAAGCAGUUGCCACCAGUUCCCCGAGGAGGGUCCUGACACCCAAGAGGCCGAGAUCCCACUGGUCAACAUGAGGGCACAGCUGGAUGUGGAGAGCUUCAUCAGUUCCUCGAGGAGACCUCACAGAUUGUCCGGACCCUGCUGGAGAGGGUGGCCCUGGAGAAGACCUGCUGGGAAUCCCUGUGCUCUCCGCACAGCUGCCUCCAGGGUGUGGCCCUCUUGGUGAGGGUGACUUAAGAGGAGCCCCUGCAGGAAUCGCUCAAUCUGUCAGCCAAGAACAGAUGUGACAGAUGCAAGUGGUGCUGUGCCGAAUGUCUGGAAACAAAGGAUGGGGCAGACACAACAACAAUUUGCACACAAUACUCUCCUGCCUCAGCAGCCUGUCCAUGCGCCCACCCGGGACCAGGACCUGAAGGCUGACGUGUGGCUGAUGAGGGUCUUUCUUCCAGCCGGGGAGCCGCCCCCACCCCCUGCCCCUGGCAAUACACAUCUCUUGGGCAGCAAGUAGCGGGUUAUUGCAUAGCUCGUUGGAAAGAAGCACAGUCCCCCGCCCCGCCCAGCUACACAGGGCUACCUGGCACAAGCAAAGCGGCUCCCUUUCCUGCUCAAGGAGUGCUGCUCCUGGGCGGCUGGAGGACCCGAUCCAUCCAAGAAGACCUUCGAAACAUUGCCAUGCCUCCAAGACUGGGCUGAGUAGGCAGCGACUCCCUAAAACUUGGUUGACCUUGCCAUCCACCCCUCGUUGUGCACAAUCCUGGGCUUCCAACCCUCCCAGGGAGAGAAUGGGCUUUGCUGGCCAACCUGUUGGGGGACGAAUAGGAAUUUAUUUUGCUUUCCACUAGAUUGGCCUAGUGGGAAAGUGUUUUUUGUUUUUUUUUGCCUACUCCAUUUCCUCUCUAGUGAAUUCAAGUUAAUUAGAAUUGUCAUUACCAAAGUUGUCGUCUAUGAAUAAAGCUGCAGCCCUUUCAUUCCUA